AACGAACGCUGGCGGCAGGCCUAACACAUGCAAGUCGAGCGCCCCGCAAGGGGAGCGGCGGACGGGUGAGUAACGCGUGGGAAUAUGCCCUUUGCUACGGAAUAGUCUCGGGAAACUGGGGGUAAUACCGUAUACGCCCUUUGGGGGAAGGAUUUAUCGGCGAAGGAUUAGCCCGCGUUGGAUUAGGUAGUUGGUGGGGUAAUGGCCUACCAAGCCGACGAUCCAUAGCUGGUUUGAGAGGAUGAUCAGCCACACUGGGACUGAGACACGGCCCAGACUCCUACGGGAGGCAGCAGUGGGGAAUCUUAGACAAUGGGGGCAACCCUGAUCUAGCCAUGCCGCGUGAGUGAUGAAGGCCUUAGGGUUGUAAAGCUCUUUCAGCUGGGAAGAUAAUGACGGUACCAGCAGAAGAAGCCCCGGCUAACUCCGUG
rnacentral:rRNA from 1 species